ensembl:lncRNA MFF-DT MFF divergent transcript
ACGCACUGGAACGGCUCCACGAGUCUGUCACCCAGGUUGGAGUGCGGUGGUGUGAUCUUGGCUCCCUGCAACCUCCACCUCCCAGGUUCAAGCGAUUCUCCUGCCUCAGCCUCCCAAGUAGCUGCGAUUACAGGCACCCACCACCAUGAAGAAUGGCAUUUUUAAAAGAUGGCUUUCUUAAAAAAGGAUACUCAGUUGCUCUUCUACUCAUACCAAGUCCUGCAGACACAUUCUGGGACUGCACCUUAUGAGUGCUGCUCACUCUGUUUCCUGCAGAAGACAUACAGAGCCGUUCGCAUAGAGGGCCAUGAUUUUGAUUCAGCAAUUCUUCAAACCACUGAUGCUGGUUGACCAUUUGACUUUGUUUUUGAAGUAUUUUUUACAUACAGUGUACAGAACAUUUCCGCUGGAUAUUUGGAUACUGAACAGGAGUAACAAGAGGAACAGCUCCUACCUCCCCCCUGCCCCUUCCCUCACAAGCCUGUGAGUCAGGGCAGGGGCAGCCACUGAAAGUAGCAGAGGCCUUCAUAAAGGAGAAGUGAGUGGGAUCUGAGGGGACAAAGGAUCCCUGCCCAAGUGCAUGUCAUCCAGUGGCUGACCACAGUGUUCACGGCUGCCGCCAUUAGUCUUUCAUCUUUGGAUUGAGACCCAGUCUCCCAGAAGACCCUAUGCCAAUGCAAAUGGCUACUGGACAGUGAUAAUGUAUAAUGUUCCCUAUCCAGGUUGUCAGGUAGACCUUUGGAUUAACUCCCCAAAAGCAGCCCCCUAGGAGACAGGCGACAGCACCGCAGUCAGGGGAUGCAGGCGUGGAGGGUAAGAGCACGCGUCUAGAUUUCAGUUCAGUCUCUACCAUGUUAUUAGCUAUGCCACCUGAUGCCUCAGCUUCCUCAUCUGUCCAAUGCGGUUAAUUAUAGCACCAGCCUCUCGGGCUGAUGUGAGAGAUAAAGGAAUGGAGGCACAUAAGACCCUUAGAACAGCGCCCAACACACAGGCCAAGGGCUCUGUAACUUCACCUCUCAAUGGUCAAUGAUACAUAAUUUGAUGACAUUGUCUGAAGACCAAGGUGCUGGUGGCAGAGUCAGGACUGUGGGUGGUAGCGAGGGAGAGAGAGGCCCUGUGUAGUCAGGGGAGUGGCCCGAGGGGCAGAGGAACCCAGUCAGUAAACAGAGACGUUUUGUACUUCAAAGUUUUGCCCAUAGGCAGUUCUGUGACUGAAGACGGGGAGGUCGAAAGCAGAGGUGGUGACAGCCGGGAGUAACCGUGUGGUGUGGAGAGUCCUGGCCUGGCACACAGUUGUCAAGAGAAGGCUUGUGACUCAUCCUUUAUUUAAGCCUCAGGACACUGGCUAUAAAAUGUUGUGUUUUUUUUUUUUUCCUUUCAAAAUUUGACUUAGUGGCUAAUAUUUUUUUAAAAAAACACCAUGAGAUUUUAAAUAAAAAUUCCAAUUCCUUUCUUCUCAUGAAAACUUGGAAGAUUUAUUAAUGCAGGGCCUGACAUGUUGCACAGUAACAAUGGGCUGCAGCCAAGUGCCCGCUGGCCCGUUCAAAUGUACCCUCAGUUUGUUUAUUGCAUUUCUGCAACUCUCUUGUCCCCAGCACGGAGGAUGUUGCAAUUUUUUAAAGAGCAUUUGCAUCCUUAAGAAGAAAGUGAAAUACCACAUUUUUCUAUGACUCUUUUAAAAGUAGGAACAUGAAAAAAUGGACUGAGUAGGGUUGUGUCUUUUGAGAAAAAAAGGGAGAGAGCAUAUUUCUUUAUGGAAGAGAAAGAGGGUGUGUGUUUCAUGCAGCUGCUUCACUGCCUUCAGUUAACUGCUGUUCUCUUGUAGGACUCUGUGUUCACAAUUCCUGCCUAACACAAUACUUUGCUAGGGGUCAGCAACUAAAAUGGAAUAGGGAAAAAUACCAGCUUUUCUUGGAUUUUGGCUGACUUUAUGUUAAUAGAAUAUAUGUUUUUGAAACUCUCCCUCCAAGUUCAUCUAAACCACGUUGUGACAUCCACCAAUCCAAUGCCUUUAUUUUCUUCCAGUGUAUUGACCCUUUUGUGCUUGCAAAAACACUUGCAUGCAAAUUGUUUGUACCUGGGAUUCCUUUUACACCAUGUAACCCUGGCAAUCCUGGGAGACCGGGAGGCCCUGGGAUAUAAGGGCACUGUGUACACAGGAGGCCUGGUUCUCCUGCAAUGAGAGCAUACUAGCAUUACUUAAAAAGCUACAUUGAGUCCUCAGAAAGAACAAAUAUUUUCCAACCACACUAUCAUUUAUUACAUUUAAACAUUUUUAUGUAGUGAAAAUUAUCUAGGACGUUAUACAUAUUAAUUUAAAAAUUCAUUUAUUAUAGAUCUGCUUACUUUAAUGUUCUGAGCUAUACAGUUCUUCUGAAAGGGGAAAUUCCAAAAGUCUAACAUAAAACAUCUAUUUCAGUGUUUCUUUCCUUGCAUGCAGGCAAAAACUCACAUUUUAGGGAUAUCCAACAAUUUAUUGCAUGGGUGCCAAAUAAAUUAUUGAUUUACAGAUAAAUGAAUACUUUUAGCUAAUGGAAAAUAAGUCAUCACUGACUGGUAGCUAUUUGGGAUCAUUGUUAUCUCAGGGGGAAAAAUCAGUGAUAAUAAUGACGAUGAAAAAGGCUUAUCCUAAUACAACAUUAUUGAUUGAACCAACCUUUGGGCCCAUCAACUCCUGGGAUUCCUGGAGACCCUAGAUAGCCUGGCAGUCCGUGAUCUCCAGGUGGACCCUUGCGAAAAACGAUGUCACCUAUAAAAAUACAGCACCAAAGACAAUUUUUUAUUUGUGUUUUUUUCAAUUAGCAAGUAUUGUAAUAUAUGUAUUAUUUAAAAUGCAUCUCUCUCAUCUUUGUAUUGGAAGCCUAGUCUUUAGAAGUUUAUCUGCAACUGAGAAAGCAUGGUGACCAGCUCUUCCCUUCAUAUUACAUAGAUGUGGUAUUUUUAAGGUAGUUGAUCUUUGAAAGCUCAUUGUAUAAUUUUUUUUUUUGGUCACAGAAUCAACCUAUUUUAUCUUACUUAGUUGUUUCCAAUUAUUCCAAGUUGAUAUGGUUUGGCUGUGUCCCAAAUCUCAUCUUGAAUUGUAGUUCUAUAAUCCCCAUGUGUCAUGAAAGGGACCUGGUGGGAGGUAAUUUAAUCAUGGGGGCAGUUACCCUCAUGCUGUUCUUGUAAUAGUGAAUGAGUGCUUAUGAGAUCUGAUGGUUUUAUAAUGGGCUUUUCCCCAUUUUGCUCAGCACUUCUCCAUGUUGCCAUCAUGUGAAGAAGGACAUGUUUGCUUCUGCUUCUGCCACGAGUGUUGAAGGCAAUGGUGAUGAAAGUAAAUAUUUAAAAACACUACCAUAGCUGUCCCAAAUUUCAGAAAAACAAGGUACCACUGGAACCAUUUAAUUUUGUUGGAACACAGAAUGACCAUCUUGUGAUCAGUUUUCUGCAUCUUUAAAAUACCUGGAAGGUCAUCUUUAAAUAGUACAAUCUGAUAAAAGUUUAAUACUUAGUGUAGACUUAUAUGAAUACUUCUACAUUCAUACAUUUUUGUAUACUUAUACAUUUUCAUACUCAAUUAAUGCUUAAUUCAAAAAAUAUCUGAGUACCUGCAGUGUUCCCCAUGCUACAUACUGGGCUUAAACAGCCAAAAAGACACAGUCUUUGACCUCAAAAUACUUUGAUUCUUGUAAGAAAAACUGACAAAGACAAAGAGAAGGCAAUGUGAAAACUUCUACAGUUGGGAUAACCUUGGAGGUUACAGGAUGUGGACUCACUGAAAGCUUUCUGCUGGACUUGAACUUGAAGCUGAAGUCUGAAGGACAGAUGGGUGUUGCUUAGCGAAGGGAAAGUAGGAAGCAAAGACCCCUGGACAGAGUGUAGCAGGCACAGAGGGAGCAUGACACCUUCGGGAGAGAGCCGCAAGCACCUGGGCCCAGAUCCCAGCUUUAGCUUCAUUAGCCCUGUGAACUCUGUAUGUCAGCCUUGACAUAGAAAAAAAGAGGAUACUAAACCUCCAUCUUAAAAGAGACUUGGAAGAAGCUGGGAUUAUAGGCACACCACCACACCUGGCCCCAGAAAAGGGAAUCCUUGACCUGCAAGAAUCGAGGAAUAUUGUUUCUGACAUGCUCAGUGGACCUACUGCUGGUGUUCUUAACCAUUUCCUUCCUAAGUGGAACUUCUUUUGAGGUUAAUGUUUAUAUACAAUUACUUUAACAUUGGAUUUGGGAAAUGGAACAACAUACUGCGGAUCUUUCUGCUACCGAUGAAAGAAGAAGGUUGAGUUUUACCUUCUAGAGCUUUACAGUGUAAACAAGCAGUAUUAGGGUUUGUUUUUACCUUCUCCCCUUUGGCCCCGUCACAGAAGCACUGGCCUUUGUCUUUACAGACACAACCCUAGGAAGAGGGAAAGAGAAAGGGUUUUGUUUAGAAACAGCUGAAUAAAUCCCAACCGGCAGGGUAAAAGCAAAUGCAUUUCUCUGUUCUUCGAGUAUUGGACACUAUCUGUUAGGAGCCAGGUGACCUUGUAGCAAUAUAUCAAUAGAAAUAUAUCAAUAUAUGAAUAGCAAUAAAGUAGAAAACUGAGAACAUGUUGCAUAAGGGAGAAAUGUCGGAUAAGAAUACAUCAUUUGUAUUGUACUUGGGAAUUUUAAGUGUUAAAGUAAUGGCCGUUUUUGCCAUUACUUUUAAUUACCUUUGUACCAACCUAAUAAUUUAUAUAUGGAAACGACAAAGCUAUCCUUUUUUUCAGGAUAAUAUCUAAUUGAAUCAUAAGAAAUUGCUGCUGUCAUAGUUAAAAAGUGGUCAAAUACUGGCAAAUUCUUAGGUUCUACAUAAUGUUCAUAUAUGUGUAUGUGUAUAUAUGUAUAAUGUAUACAUGUAUAUGUACCUUUUAUGUAGAACACAAUGUAUUUGGUUAGUGCCAUUACUUGGACAAUUUUUUUGCCAUUACUUUCAAUGGCAAAAGCCACAAUAACUUUUGCACCAACCUUAUAUAUAUUUGUGUAGAUUAAUAUGCAAUAUAUUCCAUAGGUGAUAUUAAGGUUUUCUUUGACUUAAAUAAUGUUUAAGACUGGGAAGAGGAUCAAUACCCAUUACACAUCUUUAAAGAGAACAAACUAACUCAUUAAUGCUAGUAUCAGAAUGUUCUUUCUUUUUUUAUUCUCAAAUAUUUUGAACAACAGAAUGUUCUUUCUUAUAAAACCAAAACCAAAACAAAAAAUUCAGCUGUGAGUUAGACAUACCUUAUCCUACCUAACUAGUCACUGUGACACACUUACCCCCCAGCCCUCACACCUAUGCACAUUCCAGCUCCAAUGGACAUCAAAUUUUUAAAACUUUUCUCUGCCAGCAGAGGAACAAAUAAAGAAAUAGUUUCAAAUAAUAGACUUAAAAUGUGUUUUGGCUGGGCACAGUGGCUCAUGCCUGUCAUCCCAGCACUUUGGGAGGCCGAGGCAGGCAGGUCACUUGAGGUCAGGAGUUUGAGACCAACCUGGCCAACCUGAUGAAACCCCAUCUCAACUAAAAAAUAUAAAAAUCAGCUGGGUGUGGUGGUGGGCUCCUGUAAUUCCAGCUACUCCAGAGGCUGAGGCAGGAGAAUGGCUUGAACCCAGGAGGUGGAGGUUGCAGUGAGCUGAGAUCAUGCCACUGCACUCCAGCCAGGGUGACAG